UAUAGUAAAUAUUUGGUGAGUUAAGAAUUCUAUAAAAACGAGUAAACUACGUCAGGUUCUAUCAAUCAGCUAGAGACUGGUAUCAAAGAAUGUGUAUUUUUACAUUUUUUUAACGUUAAUGUUACCUUUUUGGGAGAUGCAAAUUUUCAAAUUUUCGAGGG